UACAGAGAGCUGCAAGCGUUAUUCGGAUUCAGCUGGGCGUAAAGGGUGCGCAGGCGGUUGUGUGUGUCAGGUGUGAAAGCCCGGGCUUAACCCCGGAAUUGCGCCUGAACUUACAUGACUAGAGCAUUGGAGAGGUAGCGGAAUUCAACGGUGUAGCAGUAGAAAUGCGUAGAUAUCGGGAGGAACACCUGUGGCGAAAGCGGCUUCACUGGACCAUUACUGACGCUGAUGCUCGAAAAGCGUGGGGAGCGAACAGG
rnacentral:rRNA from 1 species